AUUGAACGCUGGCGGCAGGCUUAACACAUGCAAGUCGAGCGGGGACUUCGGGCCUAGCGGCGAACGGGUGAGGAAUGCUUGGGAAUCUGCCCAGUAGCGGGGGAUAACGUUUAGACAGGAGCGCUAAUACCGCAUACGCCCUACGGGGGAAAGGGGGGGAGCUUCGGACCUCUCACUAUUGGAUGAGCCCAAGUCGGAUUAGCUAGUUGUCGGGGUAAAGGCCUACCAAGGCGACGAUCCGUAGAUGGUCUGAGAGGAUGAUCAGCCACGCUGGAACUGAGACACGGUCCAGACUCCUACGGGAGGCAGCAGUGGGGAAUAUUGGACAAUGGGCGAAAGCCUGAUCCAGCCAUGCCGCGUGUGUGAAGAAGGCCUUCGGGUUGUAAAGCACUUUAAGCGAGGAGGAAUGGCUCUGGGUUAAUACCCUUGAGCAGUGACGUUACUCGCAGAAUAAGCACCGGCUAACUCUGUGCCAGCCGCCGCCGUAACAC
rnacentral:rRNA from 1 species